GAUGAACGCUGGCGGCGUGCCUAAUACAUGCAAGUCGAGCGAACCCAUUUAUGGGUUAGCGGCGGACGGGUGAGUAACACGUGGGCAACCUACCUAGUAGUUGGGGAUAACAGCGAGAAAUCGUUGCUAAUACCGAAUAAAACAUGAACUUGCAUAAGUAGAUGUUAAAAGUUGGCGCAAGCGAACACUAUUAGAUGGGCCCGCGGCGCAUUAGCUAGUAGGUAAGGUAAUGGCUUACCUAGGCAACGAUGCGUAGCCGACCUGAGAGGGUGAUCGG
rnacentral:rRNA from 1 species